rnacentral:rRNA from 1 species
GAUGAACGCUAGCGACAGGCCUUACACAUGCAAGUCGAACGGUAACAGGGAGCUUGCUCCGCUGACGAGUGGCGAACGGGUGAGUAAUGUAUCGGAACGUACCAUUCAGUGGGGGAUAACGUAGCGAAAGUUACGCUAAUACCGCAUAUUCUGUGAGCAGGAAAGCAGGGGAUCGCAAGACCUUGCGCUGAUUGAGCGGCCGAUAUCAGAUUAGCUAGUUGGUGAGGUAAAGGCUCACCAAGGCGACGAUCUGUAGCGGGUCUGAGAGGAUGAUCCGCCACACUGGAACUGAGACACGGUCCAGACUCCUACGGGAGGCAGCAGUGGGGAAUUUUGGACAAUGGGGGCAACCCUGAUCCAGCCAUGCCGCGUGAGUGAAGAAGGCCUUCGGGUUGUAAAGCUCUUUCGGCCGGGAAAAAUCGCAUCAGUUAAUACCUGGUGUGGAUGAUGGUACCGGAAUAAGAAGCACCGGCUAACUACGUGCC